GAGAAUAUUAGUAUUCUUAUAGAUAAUAAAUUAGUAAGGGUAUUCUUGUAAAUAGUCUGUUAGGUUUGUACUCCUAUAAAUACUAGUUGGUCACUCAUAAUAGUGUGACUAGAUGUUUUCCUCCCAAGAUACCUGUUGACAUGGUAUCAGAGCAAAAGUCCUAGGGUUAGGGUAAAACAUCUAGCAAAUCACUGUUCACGCCGCACUGUUCAUAGCGGCACUGUUCACGUAUACUGUUCACGGCACUGUUCACGCCGAUACUGUUCACGUAGUUACUGUUCAUGCCGUUACUGUUCACGCGUUUGUCUCAAGUUUUGACCCGUUCUUUCGUUUGACGUGCUAUUCGCUAUGGUUGAAAGGUUUGUUAAUACGGUUAUCACUGACCAAGUUGAAUCAAGUUCUUCAACACAUGGGUCCCAGAAAACUGUUACUAUAUCUGAGGAAGAUUAUGUUAAAUUCCUACAGUACCAAGCUACAAAUCACGCAUCUCUUCCCUCUGCUUCUUUAGCACAAAAAGGAUUUGAAGACAAAGAGGAUGAUUGGUGGAGGGCAUGAGCAUAAUGGUCUUUAUUUUCUCAACUUCAAUGGUCCGAUAGCAUGUCCUGCUACUGUUUCUCCUCUUGAAAUUCACUGUCGUUUAGGUCAUCCGUCUUUACAAAAUUUGAAAAAGUUGGUUCCUACUUUGAAUCAAUUAUCUUCGUUAGAAUGUGAGUCUUGUCAGUUAGGAAAGCAUCAUCGUGUUUCUUUUGCUCCUAGAGUCAAUAAACGGGUUUCUGAACCUUUUUUGUUAGUUCA